AAGACUAUACUUGCAGGGAUCAUUUUUAUGGUUUGUUACUAAAGAAGAUCUCUGAAUGUGUAGAGUACCCAAAACCAAGAGGGGGAGGUGCUAGCUGCUCUCUCCCUUGAUGGUAAUUCUUUUCCUCCUUUGGGGCAUUAAGAGACAGGGGACACUCUCUGAGGGGU
rnacentral:snoRNA from 1 species